GGUCCUGUGGUCUAAUGGAUAAGGCGUGAGUUUACGUAGCUCAAGGUUCCAGUUCGAUCCCUGGCAUAAUCA